CAGUAGCCGCGGGAACACGUAGGGUGCGAGCGUUAAUCGGAAUUACUGGGCGUAAAGCGUGCGCAGGCGGUUCGUUAAGACAGAUGUGAAAUCCCCGGGCUUAACCUGGGAACUGCAUUUGUGACUGGCGAGCUAGAGUAUGGCAGAGGGGGGUAGAAUUCCACGUGUAGCAGUGAAAUGCGUAGAUAUGUGGAGGAAUACCGAUGGCGAAGGCAGCCCCCUGGGAUAACACUGACGCUCAUGCACGAAAGCGUGGGGAGCAAACAGGAUUAGAUACCCGCGUAGUCCCUGUCUCUUAUAA
rnacentral:rRNA from 1 species